AACGCGAAGAACCUUACCAACCCUUGACAUGCCCUGACCGCCGGCGAGAGUCGGUUUCCCCGCAAGGGGCAGGGACACAGGUGCUGCAUGGCUGUCGUCAGCUCGUGUCGUGAGAUGUUCGGUUAAGUCCGGCAACGAGCGCAACCCACACCCUCAGUUGCCAGCACGUUAUGGUGGGCACUCCGGGGGAACUGCCCGUGAUAAGCGGGAGGAAGGUGUGGAUGACGUCAAGUCCUCAUGGCCCUUACGGGUUGGGCUACACACGUGCUACAAUGGUGGUGACAGAGGGUUCAUCCCUAAAAGCCAUCUCAGUUCGGAUUGUCGUCUGCAACUCGACGGCAUGAAGUCGGAAUCGCUAGUAAUCGCGC
rnacentral:rRNA from 1 species